rfam:Triticum aestivum genome assembly, contig: Triticum_aestivum_CS42_TGACv1_scaffold_226501_3B
UGUGUACUCCCUCCGUUCCAAAAUACUUGACUUCCAUUUGUCCAAAAAUGGAUGUACCUAUAUACUAAAACAUGUCUAGAUACAUAUAUAUUUUCAUAAAUAUAAGGCAUGUAUUGUGCAACGGAGGGAGUAGAAU